CGCCGCCCCGCUCUCGUCGGCCUCCGGCCCGCUGUCUACUUGAGACCCAGCAUCAUGCCUUCAAUUAAGUUGCAGAGUUCUGAUGGAGAGAUAGUUGAGAUUGAUGUUGAAAUUGCCAAACAAUCUGUGACUAUCAAGACCAUGUUGGAAGAUUUGGGAAUGGAUGAUGAAGGCAAUGAUGACCCAGUUCCUCUACCGAAUGUUAAUGCAGCGAUAUUAAAAAAGGUCAUUCGAUGGUGCACCCACCACAAGAAUGACCCUCCUCCUCCUGAGAAUGAUGAGAACAAAGAAAAGCGAACAGAUGAUAUCCCUGUUUGGGACCAAGAAUUCCUGAAAGGUGACCAAGGAACACUUUUUGAGCUUAUUCUGGCUGCAAACUACUUGGACAUGAAAGGUUUGCUUGAUGUUACACGCAAGACUGUUGCCAAUAUGAUCAAGGGAAAAACUGAGGAGAUUCACAAGACCUUCAAUAUCAAAAAUGAUUUUACUGAAGAAGAGGAACCCCAGGUACGCAAAGAGAACCAGUGGUGUGAAGAGAAGUGAAAUGUUGUGCCUGACACUGUAACACUGUAAGGAUUGUUCCAAAUACUAGUUGCACUGCUCUGUUUAUAAUUGUUAAUAUUAGAUAAACAGUAGACAAAUGCAGCAGCAAAUCAAUUGUAUUAGCAGAAUGUUGUCCUCAUUGCAUGUGUAGUGUGGGUACAGAUUCCAAACCUAUGGCUGAGUUCCUUCCAGUUUGAUCAAAAGUUUCCUUUUCCUUUGCUCUGAAUAAAACUGAACUGUGGGUUCUCUAUAGAAAGUGGCA